rnacentral:rRNA from 1 species
UUAAGCGACUAAGCGUACACGGUGGAUGCCCUGGCAGUCAGAGGCGAUGAAGGACGUGCUAAUCUGCGAAAAGCGUCGGUAAGGUGAUAUGAACCGUUAUAACCGGCGAUGUCCGAAUGGGGAAACCCAGUGUGAUUCGUCACACUAUCGUUAACUGAAUACAUAGGUUAACGAGGCGAACCGGGGGAACUGAAACAUCUAAGUACCCCGAGGAAAAGAAAUCAACCGAGAUUCCCCCAGUAGCGGCGAGCGAACGGGGAGCAGCCCAGAGUCUGAAUCAGCUUGUGUGUUAGUGGAACGGUCUGGAAAGUCCGACGGUACAGGGUGAUAGUCCCGUACACCAAAAUGCACAGGUUGUGAACUCGAAGAGUAGGGCGGGACACGUGGUAUCCUGUCUGAAUAUGGGGGGACCAUCCUCCAAGGCUAAAUACUCCUGACUGACCGAUAGUGAACCAGUACCGUGAGGGAAAGGCGAAAAGAACCCCGGCGAGGGGAGUGAAAAAGAACCUGAAACCGUGUACGUACAAGCAGUGGGAGCACCUUCGGGUGUGACUGCGUACCUUUUGUAUAAUGGGUCAGCGACUUAUAUUCUGUAGCAAGGUUAACCGUAUAGGGGAGCCGCAGGGAAACCGAGUCUUAACUGGGCGUUAAGUUGCAGGGUAUAGACCCGAAACCCGGUGAUCUAGCCAUGGGCAGGUUGAAGGUUGGGUAACACUAACUGGAGGACCGAACCGACUAAUGUUGAAAAAUUAGCGGAUGACUUGUGGCUGGGGGUGAAAGGCCAAUCAAACCGGGAGAUAGCUGGUUCUCCCCGAAAGCUAUUUAGGUAGCGCCUCGUGAACUCAUCUUCGGGGGUAGAGCACUGUUUCGGCUAGGGGGUCAUCCCGACUUACCAACCCGAUGCAAACUACGAAUACCGAAGAAUGUUAUCACGGGAGACACACGGCGGGUGCUAACGUCCGUCGUGAAGAGGGAAACAACCCAGACCGCCAGCUAAGGUCCCAAAGUCAUGGUUAAGUGGGAAACGAUGUGGGAAGGCACAGACAGCCAGGAUGUUGGCUUAGAAGCAGCCAUCAUUUAAAGAAAGCGUAAUAGCUCACUGGUCAAGUCGGCCUGCGCGGAAGAUGUAACGGGGCUAAACCAUGCACCGAAGCUGCGGCAGCGACACUAUGUGUUGUUGGGUAGGGGAGCGUUCUGUAAGCCUGCGAAGGUGACCUGUGAGGGUUGCUGGAGGUAUCAGAAGUGCGAAUGCUGACAUAAGUAACGAUAAAGCGGGUGAAAAGCCCGCUCGCCGGAAGACCAAGGGUUCCUGUCCAACGUUAAUCGGGGCAGGGUGAGUCGACCCCUAAGGCGAGGCCGAAAGGCGUAGUCGAUGGGAAACAGGUUAAUAUUCCUGUACUUGGUGUUACUGCGAAGGGGGGACGGAGAAGGCUAUGUUAGCCGGGCGACGGUUGUCCCGGUUUAAGCAUGUAGGCUGGUUGUCCAGGCAAAUCCGGAUAAUCAAGGCUGAGGUGUGAUGACGAGGCACUACGGUGCUGAAGUAACAAAUGCCCUGCUUCCAGGAAAAGCCUCUAAGCAUCAGGUAACAUUAAAUCGUACCCCAAACCGACACAGGUGGUCAGGUAGAGAAUACCAAGGCGCUUGAGAGAACUCGGGUGAAGGAACUAGGCAAAAUGGUGCCGUAACUUCGGGAGAAGGCACGCUGGUGUGUAGGUGAAGCCCCUGCGGGUGGAGCUGAGACCAGUCGAAGAUACCAGCUGGCUGCAACUGUUUAUUAAAAACACAGCACUGUGCAAACACGAAAGUGGACGUAUACGGUGUGACGCCUGCCCGGUGCCGGAAGGUUAAUUGAUGGGGUUAUCCGUAAGGAGAAGCUCUUGAUCGAAGCCCCGGUAAACGGCGGCCGUAACUAUAACGGUCCUAAGGUAGCGAAAUUCCUUGUCGGGUAAGUUCCGACCUGCACGAAUGGCGUAAUGAUGGCCAGGCUGUCUCCACCCGAGACUCAGUGAAAUUGAACUCGCUGUGAAGAUGCAGUGUACCCGCGGCAAGACGGAAAGACCCCGUGAACCUUUACUAUAGCUUGACACUGAACAUUGAGCCUUGAUGUGUAGGAUAGGUGGGAGGCUUUGAAGCGUGGACGCCAGUCUGCGUGGAGCCAACCUUGAAAUACCACCCUUUAAUGUUUGAUGUUCUAACGUUGGCCCCUGACCGGGGUUGCGGACAGUGUCUGGUGGGUAGUUUGACUGGGGCGGUCUCCUCCCAAAGCGUAACGGAGGAGCACGAAGGUUAGCUAAUCCUGGUCGGACAUCAGGAGGUUAGUGCAAUGGCAUAAGCUAGCUUGACUGCGAGCGUGACGGCGCGAGCAGGUGCGAAAGCAGGUCAUAGUGAUCCGGUGGUUCUGAAUGGAAGGGCCAUCGCUCAACGGAUAAAAGGUACUCCGGGGAUAACAGGCUGAUACCGCCCAAGAGUUCAUAUCGACGGCGGUGUUUGGCACCUCGAUGUCGGCUCAUCACAUCCUGGGGCUGAAGUAGGUCCCAAGGGUAUGGCUGUUCGCCAUUUAAAGUGGUACGCGAGCUGGGUUUAGAACGUCGUGAGACAGUUCGGUCCCUAUCUGCCGUGGGCGCUGGAGAAUUGAGGGGGGCUGCUCCUAGUACGAGAGGACCGGAGUGGACGCAUCACUGGUGUUCGGGUUGUCAUGCCAAUGGCACUGCCCGGUAGCUAAAUGCGGAAGAGAUAAGUGCUGAAAGCAUCUAAGCACGAAACUUGCCCCGAGAUGAGUUCUCCCUGAGACUUUAAGUCUCCUGAAGGAACGUUGAAGACGACGACGUUGAUAGGCCGGGUGUGUAAGCGCAGCGAUGCGUUGAGCUAACCGGUACUAAUGAACCGUGAGGCUUAACCUU